GCAAACUUGGUCAUUUAGAGGAAGUACAAGUCGUAACAAGGUUUCCGUAGGUGAACCUGCGGAAGGAUCAUUACACGGCGGUUGGUCGGUCGCGUGGCGGGCCGUGUCGUGUCAUGGUGUAUGGUCAUGCAGAUCAUGGCAUGCGGGUCAUGGUCGUGUAUCGUGUCAUGGCAUGGCAGGUCACGAUUGAUUGACAUUUACUACUUACAAGUGCUCUGGCGGCUGGCCGGGAUGCAUGCUGGCGGCGCGGGCGGGUAUGGAUGCCUGCCGGUGCUGCCAUCUUCAAUAUUCUAUUCUAUUCUAUUAUUGUUGUUGUUGUUGUUGCAUAUAAAAGAGGGAAUGGCAAAACACUUUUAACAAUGGAUCUCUAGGCUCUUGCAUCGAUGAAGAACGCAGC
rnacentral:misc_RNA from 1 species